CCUACGGGGGGCAGCAGUGAGGAAUAUUGGUCAAUGGACGAGAGUCUGAACCAGCCAAGUAGCGUGAAGGAUGACUGCCCUAUGGGUUGUAAACUUCUUUUAUAUGGGAAUAAAAUGUUCCACGUGUGGGAUUUUGUAUGUACCAUAUGAAUAAGGAUCGGCUAACUCCGUGCCAGCAGCCGCGGUAAUACGGAGGAUCCGAGCGUUAUCCGGAUUUAUUGGGUUUAAAGGGAGCGUAGGUGGAUUGUUAAGUCAGUUGUGAAAGUUUGCGGCUCAACCGUAAAAUUGCAGUUGAAACUGGCAGUCUUGAGUAAAGUAGAGGUGGGCGGAAUUCGUGGUGUAGCGGUGAAAUGCUUAGAUAUCACGAAGAACUCCGAUUGCGAAGGCAGUUCACUGGACUGCAACUGACACUGAGGCUCGAAAGUGUGGGUAUCAAACAGGAUUAGAUACCCUAGUAGUC
rnacentral:rRNA from 1 species